CCUGCCCCCCCUUUGUGCGGUGUUACUUGCCUUGCAUUUCUGCUGUCGUCGCUACAAAAGCUGAAUCAAGUCAACAUAGUUUACCUAAGUCUAGCCUUUUUUGCACUAAAUUAUUUGUAUAAUUUUCUCAACUCAUUCCGCUUGGGAAUAAACCCUACCAGUUUAUAAUAAUACGCUAGUUCUCUUUAUCCUGAAUCUUAAUCAGUUAUUUGGUAUUACAAAGAUGAUAUUCCAGAGAUAUCACCUAUUAAAAUUGAUGGGUAUAUAGGCACUUCGCCCCCGAAACAUACCUCAUUUCGCGCAGUAAUUUACCCCAAAACGACAGAAAUUUGAUGCGGACUAUAUGUUGAUGUGUCACUGUUUUUUUUCUAAACUCUAAAUCCACAUCACCCUCUUAAAAGACGUGAAUAAAACCUUUAAUUUUUUUUCCUCUUUUCCUCAUUUCCUCUUUUUCACUCCCUUCUGCCCUUUUAUUCUUUUUUCUCAAAACAAAAAGCUAAUAUGUUCAAAAUAAAGUACAGAGCCGCCUGAACAGUACUAAUGCCACGCUUAAACCUACAUUUGGCUAAGAACCAACACAAAAAUGAAGCCAACUUGAUUUAGAAGAAAACCUCACCUGUUGUGCAACACAGAUUCAGAUUUUGGGUUCCGACAUCCGAGUUUGUUAUCUGAAUAAGCAGUAUUCGGAUCCAUAAAAACAAAUUGGACUUGCAUCUUAGGUGAGGAGUUUGGAUGGAGGGGGCCUUAUGGUCAAUGACGAUGCCUUUGGCCUUCCCCUUGAUUGGGGGUGGGGCUCUAGUGCUUUUGUGGGUGCCGAUGG
rnacentral:lncRNA from 1 species